UACGAAGGGGGCUAGCGGUGUUCGGAAUCACUGGGCGUAAAGCGCACGCAGGCGGAUCGAUAAGUCGGGGGUGAAAGCCCGGGGCUCAACCUCGGAAUUGCCUUCGAUACUGUCGGACUCGAGUCCGGGAGAGGUGAGUGGAAUUCCUAGUGUAGAGGUGAAAUUCGUAGAUAUUAGGAAGAACACCAGUGGCGAAGGCGGCUCACUGGCCCGGUGCUGACGCUCAGGUGCGAAAGCGUGGUGAGCAAACAGG
rnacentral:rRNA from 1 species